rnacentral:rRNA from 1 species
AACGAACGCUGGCGGCAGGCCUAACACAUGCAAGUCGAACGCCGUAGCAAUACGGAGUGGCAGACGGGUGAGUAACGCGUGAGAACCUUCCCUAUGGUUCGGAAUAGCUCAGGGAAACCUGGGGUAAUACCGGAUAAGCCCUUCGGGGGAAAGAUUUAUCGCCAUUGGAUGGGCCCGCGUCGGAUUAGCUAGUUGGUGAGGUAACGGCUCACCAAGGCGACGAUCCGUAGCUGGUCUGAGAGGAUGAUCAGCCACACUGGGACUGAGACACGGCCCAGACUCCUACGGGAGGCAGUAGUGGGGAAUAUUGGACAAUGGGCGAAAGCCUGAUCCAGCCAUGCCGCGUGAGUGACGAAGGCCUUAGGGUUGUAAAGCUCUUUUGGCGGGGAAGAUAAUGACGGUACCCGCAGAAUAAGCUCCGGCUAACUUCGUGCCAGCCGCCGCGGUAAUAC